rnacentral:piRNA from 1 species
UGAUGCAACCAGGAGUUAAACAGGUUGGGU